rnacentral:tRNA from 1 species
GGUGCUGUGGCUUAGUUGGUUAAAGCGCCUGUCUAGUAAACAGGAGAUCCUGGGUCCAAAUCCCAGCAGUGCCU